rnacentral:rRNA from 1 species
UNCAACGGCCGCGGUAUCCUAACCGUGCAAAGGUAGCAUAAUCACUUGCCCAUUAAUUGUGGGCUAGAAUGAAAGGAUAAACGAAAUAAAUACUGUCUCUAUAAGCCGCUUAAAAANUUACCCUCUAACCGAAGAGUGUUAGAUAGCGUCGAAGGACAAGAAGACCCUAUAGAGCUUAAUUUAAAUAAAUAUNAAAANAAUUUACUAAAANUUCGGUUGGGGCGACCAGGGAANNUUACUCAUCAUCCCUAAACAAAANGAUAAAUAUAUCAAAAUAUUNNGACCCUUNCUACAAGAUCACUAAAACAAGCUACCUUAGGGAUAACAGGCUAAUCUCACUAGAGAGUCCUUAUCAAUAGUGAGGAUUGGCACCUCGAUGUUGGCUUAGGGAAUCUCUAUGACGUAAAAGUCAUAUAAAGAUGGUUUGUUCAA